GACAGGCGUAGUCGAUGGACAACGGGUUGAUAUUCCCGUACCGGCGAAACAACGUCCGUGCUGGGGCACGCGAUGCUAAGCAUGCGAGACUGUCUGCUGCCUUUCGGGGUGGUGGGUGGUUGAGUCUGUGAUCCGAGUGUGUAGUAGGCAAGCCGCGGAGGGACGCAGGAAGGUAGCUCAUCCUCAGCGUUGGUUGUCUGAGGCUAAGUGUGUAGGGUGGGGUGUAGGUAAAUCCGCAUUCCGUGAUGCCUGAGACACGAUGGGCCUGCACCAUUUUGGGUGUGGGUUGAGUGAUCCUAUGCUGCCUAGAAAAGCUUCGUUGGCGAGUUGUUAGCCGCCCGUACCCCAAACCGACACAGGUGGAUAGGUAGAGAAUACCGAGGCGAUCGGGAUAAUCGUGGUGAAGGAACUCGGCAAAAUACCCCCGUAACUUCGGGAUAAGGGGGACCUGAUACGUGACCAGCCUUGCGUUGUGAGCGUUGAGGGUCGCAGAGACCAGGCCCAAGCGACUGUUUACUAAAAACACAGGUCCGUGCCAACUCGUAAGAGGAUGUAUACGGACUGACUCCUGCCCGGUGCUGGAAGGUUAAGGGGAACUGUCAGCCGCAUUUUGUGUGGUGAAGCGGUGAACUUAAGCCCCAGUAAACGGCGGUGGUAACUAUAACCAUCCUAAGGUAGCGAAAUUCCUUGUCGGGUAAGUUCCGACCUGCACGAAUGGAGUAACGAUUUGGGCGCUGUCUCCACCACGAACCCGGUGAAAUUGCAUUACGAGUAAAGAUGCUCGUUACGCGCAGCAGGACGGAAAGACCCCGGGACCUUUACUACAGUUUGGUAUUGGUGAUCGGUGUGACUUGUGUAGGAUAGGUGGGAGACUUUGAAACCGGGACGCCAGUUCCGGUGGAGUCAUCGUUGAAAUACCACUCUGGUCAUUCUGGUUAUCUAACCUAGGACCGUUAUCCGGUUCAGGGACAGUGCCUGAUGGGUAGUUUGACUGGGGCGGUCGCCUCCUAAAAGGUAACGGAGGCGCCCAAAGGUUCCCUCAGCCUGGUUGGCAAUCAGGUGUUGAGUGUAAGUGCACAAGGGAGCUUGACUGUGAGACUGACGGGUCGAGCAGGGACGAAAGUCGGGACUAGUGAUCUUCUGGUAGCGAAUGGAAGCGCCAGGACUCAACGGAUAAAAGGUACCCCGGGGAUAACAGGCUGAUCUUGCCCGAGCGUCCAUAGCGACGGCAUGGUUUGGCACCUCGAUGUCGGCUCGUCGCAUCCUGGGGCUGGAGUCGGUCCCAAGGGUUGGGCUGUUCGCCCAUUAAAGCGGCACGCGAGCUGGGUUUAGAACGUCGUGAGACAGUUCGGUCCCUAUCCGCUGCGCGCGUAGGAGUCUUGAGAAGGGCUGUCCUUAGUACGAGAGGACCGGGACGGACCAACCUCUGGUGUGCCAGUUGUUCCGCCAGGAGCACGGCUGGUUGGCUACGUUGGGAAGUGAUAACCGCUGAAAGCAUCUAAGCGGGAAGCACGCUUCAAGAUGAGGGCUCCCACAGAAACAAUCUGGUAAGGCCCCCCACAGACCAUGGGGUCGAUAGGUCGGACGUGGAAGCGUAGUAAUACGUGAAGCUGACCGAUACUAAUAGGCCGAGGGCUUACCAC
rnacentral:rRNA from 1 species